rnacentral:rRNA from 1 species
GAGGGGGGCUGCUCCUAGUACGAGAGGACCGGAGUGGACGCAUCACUGGUGUUCGGGUUGUCAUGCCAAUGGCACUGCCCGGUAGCUAAAUGCGGAAGAGAUAAGUGCUGAAAGCAUCUAAGCACGAAACUUGCCCCGAGAUGAGUUCUCCCUGAGACUUUAAGUCUCCUGAAGGAACGUUAAAGACGAUGACGUUGAUAGGCCGGGUGUGUAAGCGCAGCGAUGCGUUGAGCUAACCGGUACUAAUGAACCGUGAGGCUUAACCUUACAACGCCGAAG